GACGUAGGGCGCGAGCGUUGUCCGGAUUUAUUGGCGUAAAGAGCUCGUAGGCGGCUUGUUGCGUCGACCGUGAAAACCCGGGGCUCAACUUCGGGCUUGCGGUCGAUACGGGCGGGCUAGAGUUCGGUAGGGGAGACUGGAAUUCCUGGUGUAGCGGUGAAAUGCGCAGAUAUCAGGAGGAACACCGGUGGCGAAGGCGGGUCUCUGGGCCGAUACUGACGCUGAGACGACGAAGCGUGGGGAGCGAAUGAGA
rnacentral:rRNA from 1 species